GCUGUCCGCCAGUGUAAAUAACUGGUGAAGAAAGGGCCGGGCAAGACCGGUGCCAGCCGCCGCGGUAAUACCGGCGGCUCGAGUGGUGGCCACUAUUACUGGGCUUAAAGCGUCCGUAGCUGGAUUGUUAAGUCUCUUGGGAAAUCCACCGGCUCAACCGAUGGGCGUUCAGGAGAAACUGGCAAUCUAGGGACCGGGAGAGGUGAGAGGUACUCCAGGGGUAGGAGUGAAAUCCUGUAAUCCUUGGGGGACCACCUGUGGCGAAGGCGUCUCACUAGAACGGCUCCGACAGUGAGGGACGAAAGCUGGGGGAGCAAACCGGAUUAGAUACCCGGGUAGUCCCAGCUGUAAACGAUGCGCGUUAGGUGUAUCGGUGACCACGAGUCAUCGAGGUGCCGAAGGGAAACCGUGAAACGUG
rnacentral:rRNA from 1 species